rnacentral:sRNA from 1 species
UUAAUGGGGUUUAUUAUUUUGUUUAACUGACUAAUGUAUUGGGGUAUUUUCAGUUUAAACAGUGAAUUAUCCGGGUAGAAGUCGGUAGAGCCAGAAACUCGCUUUUGAUGUUGCUGUGCCCCCUAGUGGCGAGCUGGAUUCUAAAUCGUGCCCUUUAUUCCCUGCAGCCCUGAAGUUCAGUCCAUCUUGAAAAUUUCCCAACCUCAGGAGCCUGAGCUUAUGAAUGCCAACCCUUCUCCUCCACCAAGUCCUUCUCAGCAAAUCAACCUUGGCCCGUCGUCCAAUCCUCAUGCUAAACCAUCUGACUUUCACUUCUUGAAAGUGAUCGGGAAGGGCAGUUUUGGAAAGGUUCUUCUAGCAAGACACAAGGCAGAAGAAGUGUUCUAUGCAGUCAAAGUUUUACAGAAGAAAGCAAUCCUGAAAAAGAAAGAGGAGAAGCAUAUUAUGUCGGAGCGGAAUGUUCUGUUGAAGAAUGUGAAGCACCCUUUCCUGGUGGGCCUUCACUUCUCUUUCCAGACUGCUGACAAAUUGUACUUUGUCCUAGACUACAUUAAUGGUGGAGAGUUGUUCUACCAUCUCCAGAGGGAACGCUGCUUCCUGGAACCACGGGCUCGU